rfam:Hordeum vulgare subsp. vulgare, WGS project CAJW01000000 data, contig: morex_contig_66564
AAAAUACUCCCUCGUCUCAAAAUUGUUGUCUUAGAUUUGUUUAAAUAUGAAUGUAUCUAGUCAUGUUAUAGUAUUUAGAUACAUCUAUUUUUUAACAAACCAAAGACAACAAUUUUAAAACGGAGGAAGUACAUA